CCUGUCAGGAAGCUUCAUACACUUCUGGUCAGACGCUCUUUCCCUGAAGAAGAAAAGGAUAUUUAUAGCCAGGAAUGGAUCUCUCAGUGUCUUCCCCCAGCACAUCAGGCUGGAGCCAUGAGGGAGCACAGGGCAGGUGAUGAAGGAAGGGCGAUGAUGCCAUAUCAUGAUUCCCACCAGAAACAUCCAGCCUCGGGGACGUGGAGGACACCACCAGCCCAUGGGGCUCAGGCAGUGGCCUUGAGAGGGGGAAUAAAAUGCUCAGCUGUCAGCUACCUGAAAGGACAGUGCAAGACCGAGGCAAGGACCAGCUGCUCCUUUGGCUCCGUGUGCAGGUGCCCACACAGCCAGGGUGCUCUACACUUGAUGCAUCAUCUUUUGACAGACACGGGGCAAACUCUGCUCCUCCCUUCUGGCCUGGGUUGCAAUGAUGGAUUAAGUAGGGCAGAUAGCAGGAGCCCUGGUGCAAACAACACAUUUGAAGUGAACCCAUGGACGAGUUUGCUUGUAUGUAGAAGAGAUCGCUGAUGACAGGAAUUCUCCAUCCAGGACCUCUGAACUGAGCAAUGACAAGCUGCCCUGUUCUGCCCUGUGAAGGGGCAAAAAAAAGAGAAGAGCUGCAGAGCUUUGCAGAUGAAGAGGGCCGUGAUGUGCAAUUGGGUUGUUCCAGUGAGGGCAGCAACAGCAGGGGAGCAGCAGUUGGUGGGGUUGGUCUGGAGUGUGUCUGCAGAGCUGUGGAGCAGAGGAGAAAGUGUGUCUUGGAGCUGGGUGUCUCCUUGAGAGUGAGCAGCACAUCAGCAAGAGGAUUGUAACCCUAAUUUUUUCUCUCCAUUUUUUUUUCAGGAGGUCUCCAAGCAUUUUAAAAGGAAGCUAACACCACAGAUUGGAAAACUGUACAUUUUGAGGCUUCAGUGACUGGUUUAGAGCCAGCCAGAGGAACCUGUGAGUGCUGAGCCCUCACACUCUCCUCCCAAACCAUCUGCACUCCAGACCUUGGCCUCUUUCCCAGGCCCCUGUGCUGACCAGACUGAUGUUGGGGAGCUCACUGGAGGCCAGUCUUGUCCCAUAGGGUGGAGGCAGGACAUGUUGCCACCUGUGGCCACUGCCAUCAGCUGGACUGGCUCUGGGAGGGAGGAUGCUGGCACAACAAGUGGCCCUUCAAAAUGGGGUUGGAUUUAUAGGGGUGCACUCUAGUCCCAGCCUAUGAGGCCUCUGUUCCUGCCCUGCCCUCUCUCAGCAUUUUGGGAGGAGUUCACUUACAAUUUCAAAACAUGUGGUGCUUUUUCUUCUUUUUACCCAGCACCACUUAAGUGUCGAGUUGAAGGGAAAUACAAUACAUCACCUUCCUCGUGGGCUGCCAUUCAGCCAAGAGUAACAGAGAUUAGCCUUCAAUCACAUGGGGGCCAGAGCUGAAGGAAACCUUCCCGAGGACACGCUGGAGAAACAUUUUCAUUAGUGGAGGAGAAGCUGACUGAGAUGGAGUGGCCCUUCACCUCAGCUGCCAGACCUCUCGCCUGCCUGGCGUUAACAGGACAGGGAGAUGCUAAUGGAGGAGCUGGUGCCAGCUGCAAGUCUUUAAGUGCUGUCUGCAUCCAGAUGUAAGGAACAGCUGUGACACAGCAAAGCAGUGCUUUUAGAGCCUGGUGAGGGUGGGUUUGUUUUGGGUUUUUUUCCCUGCAUGUGAGCGCUCACUGCUGGAAGCAAAGUGGCUCUCAGUUAAAAGGGAGAAAUGGGUGCUGGGCCACAUACCAGAAUGGAUACCCUGGCAUGGGCCAGAAAAUGAUGUCCUUGGGGGAUAAGGUCCAUAGAUCCAGGAGAUAUCAUGGUCUCUGCCUCCUGCAACACGUUUUGCAAUUUUAACAGGACUGCCUUAGUGGUAGUAGAGGCUUUCUCUGCUCCAUGGAAAGCUGUUCCACAGCCUGCUGUUGCAGGCAUUUGCUCUUAUUUUGCAUCCCCCCAGAGCAGUUGAGGUACCCAGGGUUCACUUUUGCUAUUGAUGUCUCCUUUGUGUUGAAGAAACACCCCCUGGACCCCAGCUGGAUGCCUGGCACAGACCUGUCUGUCCUGGUUACUGGGAAUUAGCCAACAGGAUCCCUGCAGCCACAUCUGCCGUCCCCCACCACCUCACCUCCCUGGGGCUGGCGUGCUCCUGACAAAGGCAGGCUCCAUCUCUUUCACUCACAGCUGAAGGAUGCCUUGCCUGGUCCUGUCUUGCAGGUUGGAGGGAAAUCAUUUUAAUUUGCGUGGCACAUUCCUUUGGGCGGGAGGUAGGGGGAGAAAAGAAACAAAAAAAAAAAAAUCCGACAGAAACUCUGGCUGUUCUGGGUAUUUUUAGCUGUUUGCAAAGGACCAUUAAUAUCUCUUUCUCUUUUUUUUUUUUUUUUUUUUUUGUUUUUAACUCCCUGCAGACCAUUCUCUCUCUCGGGGGCUGCCUGUGGUGCUGCAUUAACAGCACAUCUCUGUGGUGAAGAAACAAUGAGGAUAUAACGGAGACCAAAAUGAAAUCCUCCCUGGAGUUGCCAAGAAUGAUGGAUAACUGCAAGAAAAUAUUAUUCUAUGGCUCUGGAAAAGGAAGAUCUACUUUCUUAGUAACCUGGUAAUGAGGUAGUGGCUCUGCUCUGUGCACAGGCUGGAAGCCAGGGGAGAUUUGGGGUUACAAAGAGGGCUGGACAGAGUUUGCUGCCCUCUCAGCUCCUUUCCUGUAUCACUGUCAACUUAGAUUUCACAUCAAGAGGGUGAUGUUAUGCCUGGCGGUGACAACAGCAGAAUGUCACUGGCAGAGGUGAAAUCUUUCCCUCCGUGAGGGUAAUUCUUCCUUUCCCUUCCCCUUGGUUUAUGUCAAGGACCUCUGGCUCCCUGUGCUGAGUGGGCCAUGCACACAUGCUGCUCAGGGGACAACACAUUCUGUGCUGAGCUUCACUUUUCCUGCUGUCUUGCUAAGCAGCUCUGUGUCACUGAUGCCUCUUGGCUGCGUGGUGACCCGGGACAAAGGGAAACCCCUUGUCACUGUCUGAGAGAAAUUGGGGCCAUUGGAAGCUGCCGUGUUUGCCAUCAUGGCAGCACUGCUCAGAGUGCUCCUCUGCCAUGCUGGCACACUUAUAUCAUAGUCAGCUUUGCCAGGGAUGUCCCUUCAGAGACCAUUUGUGCUCUUCAGGGGCCAGGUCUGAGCUAGGUCAGAGUCUGAGGGGCAGACUUACACAUGUUAAAGGGUAAUGUCCCCCACAGGCUGUCUCUCACCUCCUCUGAACAGCAGCUGAUCUUGCAGGAGUGUGCCUGUGCCCACCCUCUGCCAGCUUCUGUCCCCAGGGGCCGGUUCAGCAAAGCUUAGUGUUGUUCUGGGUCCAGCUUCCAUUUUCUAGCUGGUUAUGGAGGAGAGGAUGAAGGUUGCUGCUGCUGCUGCCAGGCCACACUAGAAAACAGGCAGGGGACCAGCCUCUUAGUGCCCUUAAAGAUCCAAGAGUUUAAUCUGACCCUGGUUCUCUCUUAGCCCUGAACCUGUUGUGUCUUUUCCAGCUGGUGCCCGAGCCUUUCUUUGUUAUUUUUAUUUUUUUUUUUCCCCUUUUCUCCUCUCCUUAUGAAAAAUGGCUUUCCCAUCUGCAUCUGUCAGGAGUGUGCCGAGCCGGGGGUACGGCUCAGUGAAUAUACAAAUGCGCGGUUGGACCGUGGCCCCCCUGACAGGCUGGAGAUGAAUUCCAAACGUGCAGGGAGAAGAGCUCCUGCUGCCUCUGAUGGUUGUUUUCCUUAUCCCGAGGAGGUGUGAGAAUCGCCUUUGGGAGCAGUGCUUCCUUCUGCUCCUGUUCUGCCUUUACCAAGGAUCAGUUCUCUGCCAUCCAUCAUCAGACGAGCCCUCUCCUCGCUCCCACGUCUCAGCUGCUGAUGGCAGUGCUGGAGAAGGGGGAAACUGUUUUAUCCUGCAUUUUACUACCAUCCUUUUUCCCCUCCCUUUUGCAUCCCACCUCCUAGGCCUCUAUUACAAGGCAGUUGGCAGGCUGGGGCUGGAGGGCACUUGCCUUUUCUUGCUGAUCCAGGUAGAGGGGAUGGGAUGGUUUCCUAUAAUCACUGAAUAUCCUGAGUUGGAAGGGACCCACGAGGAUCAUUAAGUCCAACUCUUAGACCUGCACAGGACACCCCAGCAAUUCCACCCUGUCCCUGAGAGUGUUGUCCAAACACUUUUUGAACUCUGUCAGGCUUAGAGCUGUGACCUCUUUUCUGGGGGCCUGUUCAGUGCACGACCACCCUCUGAGUGAAGAACCUUUUCCUAAUAUCCAACCUAAACCUCCCCUGACAGAGCUUCAUGCUGUUCCCUUGAGUCCUGUCACCGGUUUGACCUUACCCAGGGGGUUUAAAAUGUAAUUUUGAUUGGAGUUUUUCAGAGAUGUUGUGCGUGACUCCAUGUAAGAUGCACUGAAAGCACCCAAGUGCUCCUGCACGUCUCAGCCUUCCCCUGCUGCAGGUGACCAGAGCUCUGGGGCUCUGCAAGGAGGAAUUCACCACCUCUGAGUUGUGGAACUCUGCAAGGUCGCUCAGGUACCCAGAGAGAGAUGACAGCCUGCCCUGACAGCCAGGAAUUUGCUGAGCUCUUUUCCUGCCUCUUGGCUUUCUGCAGUGAGGUACACGAGCUGCUUCCCUGGCCUUGAUGUGCAGAGAAGCUUUCAGCCAGGUGGGCUCAGAGGAGCAGGCAGGCAGAAAAUGAAAUGAGUGUCUCCAUGCUCUUGCCACAGCUAUCUGGUCAAGGAGGAGAACUUUCUGGGUGGGCAGACCCCCUCUUUGGCAGGAGGAGAGAGCAGACAGCUUGAGCUGAGCUGUUUUUUUGACAAGCAGAUGGAUGUUCAGUGGGGACCCAAGAAAACCCUCUCGCUCCAGGCUAUCUGUGAGCCCUCCAAACCAGAGCGUUGUGCUGACACAAAAGCAUCGCUCCGUUGAUGCUCAGCUUGAAUUGCCUCUUCCAGGCGCCUGAUUCGGGACACAGCGACCGUCCCCUCCUGCCACCAGCUCCCGGGAGGAGCCAGCUGCCUGCCUGCAACCGGGGCGAGGAUGGAGCCUGAGCCGUGGAGCAGCGAGGAGGGAGGGAGGCGAGCGACGGCAGAUCCCUCCGGCAUCUCCACACCGCGGGGCUCUUGGCGAGCGAGUGCUCGUCUGCUUUGAAAGCUCUUAGUGCUCCUGCAGGUGGGAGCCAAUUUGUCUGCUUUCCUGCCCAGGUGCCAUCUGUUUGUAGGAUUGCCUGUGCGGUGGAUGAGCACGACGGGGAUGGCGAAGGGAAAGGGCUGCUGGGCUGGGAAAGAUGAGCCUAAAACUUUCCUUGAGUAUCUUCAGCGCUUCUGGCUGCCGCUGUUCUUUCUCCCCUGCAUCGCAGCGGGGAAAUCGGAGCCUGUCAUUUGCUGUUCCCGGAGCGUAGAGGGGAGCUGAGGCACUGCUAAUAGCAAACUAUCAUUCUAAUGCUAAUUUCCUACCAUUAGCUCAGGCUGGGGGAGGCUCAGCCUGGGUGGAGGGAAGCCAUUAGCAGAUGGAGAAGGGGAGAUGUGUGCGGAUUUGUUCUGCACCCCCAGAAGGGAUUUUCAGAGGGCAGAUGAUUAACCACCACUGGGCAAAUUGGUAACACUAGCUAGGUUCAGUCUCUGGUGGACGUGGGAGGGAGGGGAGAGGAUGCUUUGUUCCAAGUUGUCCUUCCUCUAGGGAUUUCCCGAGUGCUUCAGGCUUUGGCUUGAAUUUGGUCUUAGCUGCUUGUUGCCAGCCCUCGUGUGUUGUGACCCAAGGGAUGCUCAGAGCGCUGGCAGGGCUGCAGCUGGUGGCACCGAUGUCCUUUCAACAAAGGAGCCGAGCAGGGUUGGGUUUAGCUGCUGUCUUUUUGGGAGGAGCUUCCCAGUUCAGGAGCCUGGACAUCCGUGUUUGGUGGCAGGCUUCAAAGCAGGGAAAUUUUGAAUCCACCUUUGAGAUACACAAGAGCUGAAAAAGAAACCUGUCCUUUUGCCCCAAGCUGGAGACCUGUCAGGAGAAACCAGGGGCUGAGUUUGGACUUGUGAAGGAAAAUGAACUAUUUCCCUGCCCUUUCCAGAGGUGAGCAUUCCUACAUCCAGCCUCUUCAUCAGUCUCCUCUAGACAAGUGGAAGAACCUGUGUUGCUCCCUGGACUGGUGAGGUGCCUGGGAGCUUCUGGGGUGUGUGUGGAAGGUGAUUGGCUACAGUAGGACUGUAGGGCCUGUUUGGAAUUCUUUGGGCACCAGUCAGAGAGGUUUCUCUACCACUCCUAGACCAGCUUGGAAACCUUGGGACUAAAGGGGUGCAAGCUGUGCCUGGCUGGGAAGAAACUGGUUGCCUGCUACUGAAGACAGUGUUGUUUGAAGGCAAGGGCCCAGUAGUGUCCUGAUCUUGGUGUGACACACCUCCUGAAGACCCAGCAGCCUGUCUGUGGUGAUCUAGACCACUGGCUUGAUCAUUUUAUAGGGAAGCACACAAGGAUUUUUUUUAAAACCACUCAAAGACCGUUUCAAAACUCCUCUGUCAUCUAGCAGAGAUGCAGUGGAGGGACAAAAGCAGCCACAAUAAACCAGGAGCUGGUUAAAUGGCACAGGGGGAGUAAGGCAAGAAGGGACUAUCCUGCCAGGAGGACAAUAGCACAAGGCUCCAUUAGCAGAACAGCACUGCUCACUGUGGUUACCAGCUAUCAGAUCCAUCCCGGUGUGGAGCAUGACUCACUGUUGUUUAAGAAGCUAUUUCCAUCUGAAAAAAAGGCUCCUACCUUUUCUAGAGACUCUUCCCUGCCUUGUUUGAAGAGAGAAACAAAAAGGUGAAGGGCUACUUUUUCCUAGUCAAGGAGGCUCAAACAAACUUUCCCUCAAGUAGCUGAGCAAGGAAAUCAGCACGUUAUGUGUUCUCGAGAAUAAUACAAUCAAAGUAGUUGUGGGGGAAAAAAAGUAAGAAUAAAAUAGCAUUGCUUUUCCCAGUUCAGCACUUUGAAUAAUGAGCUUACAAGCCAGAGGCAGAGCUCCCAGGAGAGGAGCUGUGUUCAGGAGAUGGACACAAGUGUCUCGGAUGGGCCUGGAUCUGAAGCCAUCUCUCUCUAAUUUUCUACAUCAGUGAGAACACAGCACAGCACCAUCAAUCAUAGUCAACCUCCCCUCAAAAGCCACCUCCUGCCUCUCUGUAUGGCAGGUCCCCCUCUGCUCCUGUCCCCGCUGGGGACCGCAGGUGUCCCGGACAGCAGCGCUGCCGGCACAUUCCCUCGCAGGAGGGUUCUUCCUCCUCGUGUUUGAGCCUGCUUGUGUUUCUGCCUUUCUCCUUCCUCCACCCCUAGCACCUGUUCCUCGCCGGUGCUUCAUUUCCAGAUGUGUCUCCCCCUCCUGGAGUCAGGAAAGGCCAAAUACUCCUUUAAUCCCCGAUGAGGAGAAGGUGUGGAGCUGCCUGUCCCGGUAAACCCGCUGUGUGCUGCCAGGGGGAGGGGUGGGUGUGGUUUUGGUGCCUGUACUGCUCAUCUGGGUUAAAGAGGUUGGACUUCACAGCUUCCCUGAGGCCAUCAGGGCAUGUUCUGGGGAUUGCUGGUACUGGGACUGGCUCCUCCCCAGCUCUGGGCAUGGAGCACCUAAAGGGAUCAUCAUUCAUGCUGGGCUGGUGGUGGGAUGCAGCAGCUUCUGGUCCCUUGUUUCUCCUUCUGUGAAGUCCUCUCUGCUCCUUCCUGGCCUGGCCAGGUGUUUCUGCCAGACCCAGGGGCACCAGUUUGGCAGGAGCACUGGUGAUGGGGCUCCUCCUGGGCAGGCCAAGGCCAGGCACUUCUAGGCUGGCCAGAGGGUGAUGGGAUGUGGGUCUGUGCUUGUGACUGUUCCUUCUACUGGAGCGUGGACACAGCUGGUGGGUUCGGUGCCUCUUGCUACUUCAUCUGUCUCAUGUGCUCUUGCUCAGCUGUGGUGGCUCUCAGACCUACCAAAACCUGGCUGAAUAUCAUGACACAAAAGUGGUUCUCCAGCCCUGUUUCUGGCUUCAUGGGCUCAAGCACUAGCUAGAAAACCAAGGACUGAGCUUCUUUCUUGAGCACAGCCCUAGAGAGGAGCAUCUUCUGAAGAAACUCUUGCAAUUGCCACCUCCUUCUCAGCCUCUUCACUGGCUUCUGAGAGCUGCAGAGCAUCCUUGACCUCUGUCUCAGGCAUGGUUUCCUGCAUGUAUCAGCCCUGCUCCAGUGUUGUGGAGCUAUUGCUGGCAUCUGUAAUAGCUGUGUUGUUUACUUCCCAAGUGCCUGCCCUUUCCAUAAUGAGCUGUAAUUCAUCCUGGUUUAUACAGGGCUCGGAGAUACCGGGAGCAAGGAGGGUGUGCCAUUAAACCACCUUCUAGGCUGCUCUCUGGACCUGGGAUUGCUGAUCUCCUGGAGAUGUAAAACAAGGAGGACGAGGGGGACCAGAUGGAAAUGGAGAAUAAUUACCUUGCAGGGUUUUUACCCAGGGCUGGUUGGGUUGGGAACUGCUGUGAGCUGACACGCAGGUGCAGAUGGAUGGUUACGGCACACAGGGCAGAGGGAUGAAAGAUGCCUUUUUAAAGCACCUGCCUUCCUCUCUUCCUCUGCUUUAUAACCUGUUUUUAUAGAGACUGCACGAGGAACACAUUUUUUUUAUUAGCAGCUUGGGAGUGGAGAGUAAUAAAGAUUAAUUUUUUUAAA